UACGAAGGGGGCUAGCGUUGUUCGGAAUUACUGGGCGUAAAGCGCGCGCAGGCGGUUUUCCAAGUCAGUGGUGAAAGCCCGGAGCUCAACUCCGGAAAUGCCAUUGAAACUGUAAAACUUGAGGACGAGAGAGGUGAGUGGAAUUCCCAGUGUAGAGGUGAAAUUCGUAGAUAUUGGGAAGAGCACCGGUGGCGAAGGCGGCUCACUGGCUCGUUUCUGACGCUCAGGCGCGAUAGCGUGGGGAUCAAACAGG
rnacentral:rRNA from 1 species